GACGAACGCUGGCGGCGUGCUUAACACAUGCAAGUCGAACGGAGUGGCGAACCGGUGAGUAACACGUGGGUGACCUUCCCUGCACUUCGGGAUAAGCCUGGGAAACUGGGUCUAAUACCGGAUAGUGUGGGAUGGGCCCGCGGCCUAUCAGUUGGUUGGUGGGGUAAUGGCCUACCAAGGCGGCGACGGGUAGCCGGCCUGAGAGGGUGGCCGGCCACAGUGGGACUGAGACACGGCCCAGACGCGUACGGGAGGCAGCAGGGGGGAAUAUUGCACAAUGGGCGGAAGCCUGAUGCAGCGACGCCGCGUGGGGGAUGACGGCCUUCGGGUUGGAAACUCCUUUAGCCAUAGACGCGGUAGAUGGAGAAGAAGCACCGGCUAACUACGUGCCAGCAGCCGCGGUAAUUC
rnacentral:rRNA from 1 species